rnacentral:rRNA from 1 species
CCUACGGGGGGCAGCAGUGAGGAAUAUUGGUCAAUGGACGAGAGUCUGAACCAGCCAAGUAGCGUGAAGGAUGACUGCCCUAUGGGUUGUAAACUUCUUUUAUAUGGGAAUAAAAUGUUCCACGUGUGGGAUUUUGUAUGUACCAUAUGAAUAAGGAUCGGCUAACUCCGUGCCAGCAGCCGCGGUAAUACGGAGGAUCCGAGCGUUAUCCGGAUUUAUUGGGUUUAAAGGGAGCGUAGGUGGAUUGUUAAGUCAGUUGUGAAAGUUUGCGGCUCAACCGUAAAAUUGAAGUUGAAACUGGCAGAAUGGAGUACAGUAGAGGUGGGGGGAAUUCGAGGUGUAGCGGUGAAAUGCUUAGAUAUCACGAAGAAGUCCGAUUGCGAAGGCAGUUCACUGGACUGCAACUGACACGGAGGCUCGAAAGUGUGGGUAUCAAACAGGAGUAGAGACCCUGGUAGUC